rnacentral:lncRNA from 12 species
GGGGGGGGGGGGGGGGGGGGGGGGGGGGGGGGGGGGGGGGGGGGGGGGGGGGGGGCGGCAUUGAUUGACGCGGAGCUCAGCCAAUAAGAGCGCAGCGCGGGCGGUUCGAAGGCGCGCGGCCGGCGGCGGGAAGCGGCCAUGGCGGAGGUGGCGCUCAGGAGCUGCGGAACGCCCCAGAAACGGAGCCGGGAUCCCGACGGCUCCUGCUCGGAAUUCCAGACCCCGGUCUCCAAACGGCUCCGAGCUUUUCCUGGCUCCCCAUCCCAGAAUUCCCGCCGGAAUUCCCGGGAGAAGCUCCUCGCUUCCCAGAUCCAGUGGUCUCCCAGCUCCGAGGAGGAAAACCAGGAGAAUGAAAUUUUUCCCAGGAAACCGGCGCCCUCCCGGAGAUUGGACAUCCCAGAGGGAAAUCCGGGAAUUCCCGGGAAUUCCCAGCCUGGCUCUGCCUCUUCCCACAAUUCCCCGCUUCCCGUGGGGGGGGGGGGGGGGGGGGGGGGGGGGGGGGGGGGGGGGGGGGGGGGGGGGGGGGG